rnacentral:rRNA from 1 species
CCAAUAGCGUAUAUUAAAGUUGUUGCAGUUAAAAAGCUCGUAGUUGAAUUUCGGGAUCAUCUGGCUGGUCGUGCCUCCGGUAUGUACUUGCUUCGGUGGUCCCUCCUUCUUGAAGAACCGUAAUGGCAUUAAUUUGUUGUUGCGGGGAAACAGGACUGUUACUUUGAAAAAAUUAGAGUGUUUAAAGCAGGCAAUCGCUUGAAUACAUUAGCAUGGAAUAAUGAAAUAGGACGUUCGAUCCUAUUUUGUUGGUUUCUAGGAUUGACGUAAUGAUUAAUAGGGAUAGUUGGGGGCAUUAGUAUUCAAUUGUCAGAGGUGAAAUUCUUGGAUUUAUUGAAGACUAACUACUGCGAAAGCAUUUGCCAAGGAUGUUUUCAUUAAUCAAGAACGAAAGUUAGGGGAUCGAAGACGAUCAGAUACCGUCGUAGUCUUAACCAUAAACUAUGCCGACUAGGGAUCGGAUGAUGUUAAUUUUUUAAUGACUCAUUCGGCGCCUUACG